rnacentral:tRNA from 1 species
AGUGAUCUAGUGGUCAGGAUGUCUGUCUUACACACAGAAUGUCGCGGGUUCGAACCCCGCCUUG